rnacentral:rRNA from 1 species
CCUACGGGUGGCAGCAGUGAGGAAUAUUGGUCAAUGGGCGCGAGCCUGAACCAGCCAAGUAGCGUGAAGGAUGACUGCCCUACGGGUUGUAAACUUCUUUUAUCAAGGAGUAAAGUGAGGCACGUGUGCCUUUUUGUAUGUACUUUAUGAAUAAGGAUCGGCUAACUACGUGCCAGCAGCCGCGGCAAUACGGAGGAUCCGAGCGUUAUCCGGAUUUAUUGGGGUUAAAGGGAGCGGAGAUGGGUUGGUAAGUCAGUUGUGAAAGUUUGCGGCUCAACCGUAAAAUUGCAAUUGAUACUGGCAGACUUGAGUACAGUUGAGGUAGGCGGAAUUCGUGGUGUAGCGGUGAAAUGCUUAGAUAUCACGAAGAACUCCGAUUGCGAAGGCAGCUUACUAAACUGCCACUGACAUUGAUGCUCGAAAGUGUGGGUAUCAAACAGGAUUAGAUACCCGGGUAGUC